rnacentral:rRNA from 1 species
CCUACGGGAGGCAGCAGUGAGGAAUAUUGGUCAAUGGACGCAAGUCUGAACCAGCCAUGCCGCGUGCAGGAAGACUGCUCUACGAGUUGUAAACUGCUUUUGUACGAGGGUAAACGCAGAUACGCGUAUCUGUCUGAAAGUAUCGUACGAAUAAGGAUCGGCUAACUCCGUGCCAGCAGCCGCGGUAAUACGGAGGAUUCAAGCGUUAUCCGGAUUUAUUGGGUUUAAAGGGUGCGUAGGCGGUCGGAUAAGUUAGAGGUGAAAGCCCGAGGCUCAACCUCGGAAUUGCCUUUGAUACUGUUCGGCUAGAGAGUAGUUGCGGUAGGCGGAAUGUGUGGUGUAGCGGUGAAAUGCUUAGAGAUCAUACAGAACACCGAUUGCGAAGGCAGCUUACCAAGCUACUUCUGACGUUGAGGCACGAAAGUGUGGGGAGCAAACAGGAUUAGAUACCCCAGUAGUC